AAGUAAGAAGCAAAAUUUGCAUUUAGUUUCGACCUAAAAGUUGGUUAUAAAUAACCCUUACUUA
rnacentral:tRNA from 1 species